ensembl:lncRNA
GUCUGGUUGGAGUCGAGGCCCAAGACGCGGCCAGCCGCGGAGACGCCCACCGGGUAGGGGGCCGCCCCAUCCGCACGGGAGUGAGGUCGGCCGUGCUGAGCGAGAGUCCAGACAGCACCGAGCCUCGGUUCUCCUCAGCGGGACCAUGACUCUGUUCUAGAAUUUCCUUCUUGCAGCGGCCAGAACACCUCCGAACCCUCGGAUCUCCAGCAGAAUCUCCAGGUUUGAAAUCCAGUCCCGCACCGCAGAACGACAUUCCGGUCAAGGACGGGCCGCGUAGACGGCGCUGGUGCCCUAAGUUGCAGCCCGAGCGCGGGGUCGGCGGCGCCGUCUCUGUUCGUGUCCGCGCGCUGCGGUGUUCGCGCAACGACGAAACCGCCUAACGACGCGUUUCUCACAACGUGUGCACGUCGUCAGGCAACACCCGACUGCAAACGAGGUCAACCCGAGGGGUUUGAAGCGCGAAGAAAUAGAUUUGGAGCCGCUUUGCUCCCUUUAUUUUAUCUGACCGCUUGGAGGUCCUAUUUUUGCUUAAAAUUUUAAACAGCGGGCUCAGCGGCAAAUUAUCCUAUUUUUAUUUGGUCAGCUCAAAUGUUAAUUCAAAGACGGAAUAUCUUGACUGAAUUUGAACCGCAUCUUCAAAGCGGAAAUGUCUUUCUCUCUCUCUCUCUUUUUUUUUUUUUGAGGAAGAUUAGCCCUGAGCGAACAUCUGCUGCCAAUCCUUUUUUUUUUCUUUUUUUUUGCUGAGGAAGACUGGCCCUGAGCUCACAUCCGUGCCCAUCUUCCUCUACUUUCUAUGUGGGACGCCCACCACAGCAUGGCUGCCAAGCAGUGCCAUGUCCACACCCGGGACCUGAACCAGCGAACUCCGGGCCGCCGAAGCGGAACGUGCGCACUUAACCACUGCGCCACCGGGCAGGCCCCUUAAAUAGUCAUUCUUAUUUGAUUAUUUACUUGUUAUGAAGCUGUAAUGCUGUUAUUUAUUACUGCGACAGACCAGUAUGUAAAGAUAAGGUUUUCUUUUCAAAAAAAUUUAUUAGUGGAGUUAAAAAGUAUUCAUUUGUGACUUUUCUUCCUCUUUUGGACUUUCACAUUUAUUUUAUGCAUGUUACUGGCGUGAUUAUAUGUGGCGUGCAAUGAAAGAAAAAAAUUCACUCUAUAUUUCUUUUCUGGGUAUUACCAUGAUUUGUUGUUUUUCAUAACUAUUAUUGAAACUUUUCGUCAUAUACAGGGGGAGUGUUACAACAAGACCUACUGUGGGUAGACAAGCCACUGCAUUUCCUCUCUUCAUACCUGGUACCUAGCAAGUGUCAAAUAAAUAUUUAUCCCCAUCAAUACCGCAGUGACAAGCUCCGCCCCCACAGGCGGUCUUUGCACAGACAGCUAAGAGCGGUCUUUGCAUUUUUAAACGGCUAAAAAAUAUAGAAAGAAUUACUUCGUGACACAGGAAAAUUACACAAAAUUCAAAUUUCAGCCUCCAAAAAUAAAACGGCGCUGGCGCACAGCCACGCCCAUUUGUGACUUGCUGUCUGUGGCUGUUUUGGAACCAGAAGGGUCCCCCCAGGCUCACAGACUCAGGCCCUCCUCCCCCUUCUACCUGCCCAGCAUUCCUGGUGGCCCCUCGGCGUCCCCCCUGAGGCUGGACCUGAG